rnacentral:lncRNA from 1 species
GGCCACAGGCUCCGAGUUUUGGCGUGAGGAACCGCUGAUCGGCCACGGGCACCGAACUUGCUGGCCUCCGGCAUGUGCCUGAGGGGCGGCGGAAAAACCACCUUAAUUGGGGCGGAGGGUUAGUUUUAAGAGCAAAGGGCCUUUACUAAAAUGGCGAAGGCCUUCCGUCGGCGUUGUUUUAAAAUGGGAAGCCUCGACCCUGUAUUGAAACUGAGCUGUUCGAAGGCGGCGUUGUGUGCAAUUCGGAUUAAUGAAGGGGAAGGGUUUUGUGUGGAAAAACGCCUUGGAGUGUGACAUUUCUGCGAGAAUGCUUAAAUACCGAUUUCCCGCAGGAACAAUGGCGCUGUCUUCAGUGGCACAGUGGAGCAGCUCUGAAGAUGCAAAGAUACACGAAAAAACUUCCAGAACAUCUGGGAGAAUAUUUAAUGGAAAAUCGCUUGGUUAAAACCUGACACUCUUAACAGUGAGGGUCGCUGUCUGCCCAUUGAUAGAGGCCAGAUUGUCUUGGAAGUUCCAAAGUUGCAACGAUUUCUGGCUAGUGCCACGAGGUUUACUUGACUGUUGUGUGAAAAGCUGAUAAGAAAACCAUCCAGAAAAAAGCUCUUCGUUUUACAAACAUGAAAAUAAAACAUGUAAUUUUG